rnacentral:misc_RNA from 1 species
GAUGAAGAACGUAGCGAAAUGCGAUACUUGGUGUGAAUUGCAGGAUCCCGUGAACCACCGAGUCUUUGAACGCAAGUUGCGCCCGAAGCCAUUAGGCCGAGGGCACGCCUGCCUGGGCGUCACACGUCGUUGCCCCCCCAUCUACUCCUUCGGGAUUGCGGGGGGCGGAUGAUGGCCUCCCGUGCGCCUCGUCGCGCGGUUGGCCUAAAUGCCAAGUCCUCGGCGACGCACGCCACGACAAUCGGUGGUUGCGAAACCUCGGUUGCCCGUCGUGUGCGGUCGUUGCGCAUCGAGGGCUCGAAAAAAUUGCCGGGCUUCGGCUCGACUUUCAACGCGACCCCAGGUCAGGCGGGGUUACCCGCUGAAUUUAAGCAUAUCAAUAAGCGGAGGA